AACGCUGGCGGCGUGCCUAACACAUGCAAGUCGAGCGGGGACAAUGGAGUAGCAAUACGAGAUUGUUCUAGCGGCGGACGGGUGAGUAACGCGUGAGCAACCUUUCCUUCACAGGGGGAUAACGCACCGAAAGGUGCACUAAUACCGCAUGAGACCACAGCGUGACAUCACGUAGGGGUCAAAGGAGUAAUCCGGUGAAGGGUGGGCUCGCGUCUGAUUAGCUAGUUGGUGAGGUAACGGCCCACCAAGGCGACGAUCAGUAGCCGACCUGAGAGGGUGAUCGGCCACAUUGGGACUGAGACACGGCCCAAACUCCUACGGGAGGCAGCAGUGGGGAAUAUUGGGCAAUGGGGGAAACCCUGACCCAGCAACGCCGCGUGAGGGAAGAAGGUUUUCGGAUCGUAAACCUCUGUCCUUGGUGAAGAGAAGAGGACGGUAACCAGGGAGGAAGCCCCGGCUAACUACGUGCCAGCAGCCGCGGUAAUACGUAGGGGGCAAGCGUUGUCCGGAAUGAUUGGGCGUAAAGGGCGCGUAGGCGGCUCGGUAAGUUUGGAGUGAAAGUCCUGGCUUUAAGUUGGGAAUUGCUUUGAAAACUGUCGGGCUUGAGUGCAGGAGAGGUUAGUGGAAUUCCCAGUGUAGCGGUGAAAUGCGUAGAGAUUGGGAGGAACACCAGUGGCGAAGGCGACUAACUGGACUGUAACUGACGCUGAGGCGCGAAAGUGUGGGGAGCAAACAGGAUUAGAUACCCUGGUAGUCCACACUGUAAACGAUGAAUGCUAGGUGUAGGGGGUAUCGACCCCUUCUGUGCCGGAGUUAACACAAUAAGCAUUCCGCCUGGGGAGUACGGCCGCAAGGUUGAAACUCAA
rnacentral:rRNA from 1 species